UCUUAUAGCACUGCAACACCCAGGGCCAAUGUAAGUCUCACCGUUGAGGAAGAACAAGAUCAGCUCUCCAGAACAGUGUUGGAGCUGCAUCAGUGAGUCCCAGCAGUACCCUGUAUCUUCAUCAAGCUUGAGCCUGUACACAAGGCUUGUGGUAGGAGAAGACGUCCCCAUGGAUGGUUUCAUGAGAGGGCGAGCUGUCACUGUGGAGGAAGCCACCAUGAGCAUGAGAGUCACAAUGUUGAAGGUAGCCAUGAAACUAGAUUUGGAAGCCAUUUCUCAACAGAUUGAUAAGGUCGAAAGAAGAAAGAGUAGAAGUUGCU